GAUGAACGCUGGCGGCGUGCCUAAUACAUGCAAGUCGAGCGAACCACUUCGGUGGUGCGCGGCGAACGGGUGAGUAACACGCAGGUGAUCUGCCCAUCAGACGGGGACAACGAUUGGAAACGAUCGCUAAUACCGGAUAGGACGAAAGUGUAACGGUGCUUCUGGCACCGCUGAUGGAUGAGCUUGCGGCGCAUCAGCUAGUUGGUAGGGUAAAGGCCUACCAAGGCGACGAUGCGUAGCCGACCUGGGAGGGUGAACGGCCAGACUGGGACUGAGACACGGCCCAGACUCCUACGGGAGGCAGCAGUAGGGAAUCUUCGGCAAUGGGCGAAAGCCUGACCGAGCAACGCCGCGUGAAUGAUGAAGGCCUUCGGGUUGUAAAAUUCUGUUAUAAGGGAAGAACGACUUUAGUAGGAAAUGGCUAGAGUGUGACGGUACCUUAUGAGAAAGCCACGGCUAACUACGUGCCAGCCGCCGCCGUAAUAC
rnacentral:rRNA from 1 species